CAUAUUAAGUGACAAAAAUCAAAGUUUAAACUCGAUUUGACCCUAGAAAUCCUUUUUUUUUCUACUAGUUCACCUUUGAUUUCAUUGAUGAUUGAUGAUUGAAUCUAAGCGACAAUAAUGCCAAAU
ensembl:ncRNA Y55F3BR.19 ncRNA